AAUCUUGGGCAAUGGGCGAAAGCCUGACCCAGCGACGCCGCGUGGGGGAAGAAGGCCUUCGGGUCGUAAACCCCUGUUCUGGGGGAAGAACCCUGAGCGGGUUAAUAGCCCGUUCAGGCUGACGGUACCCCAGGAGAAAGCCACGGCUAACUGCGUGCCAGCAGCCGCGGUAAUAA
rnacentral:rRNA from 1 species